CAGCCACAAUGAGGACAUUUCCUGAGUAACUCCUUGAAUCUUUCUCAUGCAUCAUGCAAGCUCUCAUCUUCAAGUUGAUAGAAAGAUGUGAUCUCAUUCCUCAAUUU
rfam:Citrus sinensis cultivar Ridge Pineapple sweet orange scaffold00202_contig_31, whole genome shotgun sequence.